GUAAUAAACUGACUGCCGCUUUAGAAAGACGUAACAUCUGUCCUCUCGUGUUUUCACAGGUUAUGGUCGAUGAGAAGAGGCUUGGUCGACCAAAUUUCAAUUGGUUGGUUGGGAGCAGAGAAUAAAAAAACUUCACAGGAAGUGGCGAAGUCACACAGUCCAUGAGGGUUAUGGGAUAUCAUAUGGAGCAAAGGAUACAUGCAAGUGGUUUUCUCUCCUAGUCCUGGGGACCCACAUCUCAGUUCAGUUCAUGGAGCCCUUUCCUAAUGAUGAUCUGGAUCAGGUGUGUUAAAGAAGGAAGACAUAAAAUAUGCAGAGUGCUGCAAAACAAUGUUAACAAUAAAAUUGUUCUUAAAGGAUUAGUUCACUUUCAAAUAAAUUUUUCCUGA